AUGCCACCAGCCCUGACUCCUGUCACCAGGCUCCAGUGCAGUGUGUAUGCCUAUGGCUCAGGGAAAGGCAGGGCGUCGUCAGUGUCGCUGGGUCCUGGCAGGAGCCGUGUAGGAGAGCGACGCAGCUGCAGACGGAGAGCUCCUUCCGUGAUCCUUGGGCUGAGUCUUUUAUCUCCAACGACUUCUCUCCUGUGGUACCAGCUACCGUUCACGCCACUGUGUAAUUUCAUGCUCAGACAAUUUCUUUCUUUUUCUACUAUGCAAGCUGAUAGAUUUUGCUUUUUUUUUUUAAUAAAGUGCAUUUUUUAUUUACUUUCAGUUUUGCUAUGGUUUAAGUUACCAAGCGUUGUCUUACCAAAUGUUUAGGAUUAUUACUGUUAUAUAUUAAAAUGAUUUACUAGACAUGCUGCAGUAAAAACCUGUUAAAACUGCAUUUGGGGAAAGUGUUCCACCCUCUGAUCUUUAAUUCAAUUCUAAUAGCGUGAUAGGAGCACUUUGUUUAUGCACUAGAACUAUAUUCACUCAGGCCAUUAAAGUGCAGUCAGAAAAUUGCUAAUUCCAGUAAAAUUUAUGACGAUUUGUUGUCUUGAAAUGGUUGAUAAACCUAAAAAAGAACGAUUUCCUGCGGAUAGAUAGCUAAAGUAUAUACUUACAAAUUUUUCAAAAGCCAAUUCAUAUUUAACCAAAAUUGUAGGAUAUUUAGAAAAUUAUAUUUGCAUUUGAUGGAAUGAACCAUAAUAGAAAUACUUGUUUGGUCCUAAAGUAACUACUGACAUUUAUGGUCAUUGUAACUAGAAAAUAUUUAUAGUUAUUGCUAGUAGGAUAGAAUAAUUUUAUACCACUCCUCAUCUUCAGUUUCAACUAUGAAAGUAACGUUUAUAUAAAUUUUGGUAAAUUUAAAAAAUACAAAUGAGAGUAAAGGAAAAGCAUUAAUAAUUUUACAAACACACACAUAACAAAUCAAUGUUAAUAUUGUGAAAGAUUUCCCUCCUGUUUCUGUUUUGUAUAAUGAGAGUCCCACCAUUUUAUUUUGCAUGAGGCAGCAUAGAACAAACGCUAGGGUCAUGGAUUCUGGACCCAGAUUGCCCAGGUUUGAAUCACAGUUUUGUGAUAUUGAGCUGGUUACUGGUUACUUAACCUCUGAUCCUCAGAUUCCGCAUGUAUAAGGUGGAAAUAAUAAUAGUAUUUAAUUCAUAGGAUGGUAUUAACAAGAGAAGAGUAAAGUUCACAGAACCUCUUGAAAUUAUUUUUAAUUGGCAUGCCUUGUAUUUUUCACAGAAAUCCUGGUAUUGCAUGUGAAAAUCGUAAAGGACCUGAAUGAUGUUUGCUUCUUCAUUCCUUUGAAAAGAUUGGAUUUUCUCCUGGC
rnacentral:lncRNA from 1 species